CCCCCCAAUUUUUGCAAGGGAAAACCCCGCAGCGCGGACUUUUGGUCUGGCGGCGACCGGUUUACGGGUGCGGAACGCGCCCGCAACAAAACCUCAGAGCGGGGAAUAGCCUCUCGAAAGAGAGAUUAAUACCCCAUAGUAUCUUGAAGACACAUGUCUAUGAGAUUAAAGCUUCGGCACUUUGAGAUGGGCGUGCGGCUGAUUAGGUAGUUGGUAGGGUAACGGCCUACCAAGCCGACGAUCAGUAGCUGAUGUGAGAGCAUGAUCAGACACACGGGCCCUGAUUUUACGGGCCCGACUCCUACGGGAGGCAGUAGUGAGGAAUAUUGGUCAAUGGAGGAAACUCUGAACCAGCCAUGCCGCGUGGAGGAUGAAGGUCCCUCUGGAUUGUAAACUCCUUUUAUAAAAGAAAGAAACCUUAUUUUUCUUAAAUGGGUUGACGGCUACUUUUAUGAAUAAGCAACCGGCUUAACUCCGUGCCAAGCAGCCGUGGUAAUACUGCAGGGUCCAAGCGUCAUCCCGGAUCAAUUGGGUUUUAAAGGGUACCUCAGGUGGUUGGGUAGGCAGUGUUGAACUUUCCAGCUUACCUGGAAACCGCCAUUGAUCUUUCA
rnacentral:rRNA from 1 species